GAAUUGCAGAAUUCCGUGAACCAUCGAAUCUUUGAACGCAUAUUGCGCUCGAGCCCUCGGGCAAGAGCAUGUCUGCCUCAGCGUCGGUUUAAA
rnacentral:rRNA from 1 species